UACAGAGGGUGCGAGCGUUGUCCGGAAUCACUGGGCGUAAAGGGCGCGUAGGCGGUUUGGCAAGUCUAUGGUGAAAGCUCGUCGCUCAACGACGAGUCGGCCACGGAUACUGCUGAACUGGAGCACUGUAGAGGCAGGCGGAAUUCCAGGUGUAGCGGUGAAAUGACGUAGAUAUGCGGAGGAACACCGAUGGCGAAGGCAAUCCCCUGGGCCUGUACGUGACGCUCAUUGCACGAAAAGCGUGGGGGAGCAAACAGG
rnacentral:rRNA from 1 species